GUUGUUGCAGUUAAGAAGCUCGUAGUUGAAUUUCGGGAUCAAUGUUUCGGUCAUGCCGUUGGUAUGUACUGAUAUUAUUGAUUUCUCACCUUCUAAAGAACCGUAAUGCCAUUAAUUUGGUGUCACGGAGAAUUAGGACUGUUACCUUGAAAAAAUUAGAGUGUUUAAAGCAGGCUCACGCCUGAAUACAUUAGCAUGGAAUAAUGAAAUAGGACAUCCGAUUCUAUUUUGUUGGUUUCUAGGAUCGAUGUAAUGAUUAAUAGGGAUAGUUGGGGGCAUUAGCAUUCAAUUGUCAGAGGUGAAAUUCUUGGAUUUAUUGAAGACUAACUACUGCGAAAGCAUUUGCCAAGGAUGUUUUCAUUAAUCAAGAACGAAAGCUAGGGGAUCGGAGACGAUCAGAUACCGUCGUAGUCUUAACCAUAAACUAUGCCGACUAGGGAUCGGAUGAUGUUAAUUUUUUAAUGACUCAUUCGGCGCCUUACGGGAAAC
rnacentral:rRNA from 1 species